AUUGAACGCUGGCGGCAGGCCUAACACAUGCAAGUCGAGCGGAUGAAGGGAGCUUGCUCCUGGAUUCAGCGGCGGACGGGUGAGUAAUGCCUAGGAAUCUGCCUGGUCGUGGGGGAUAACGUCCGGAAACGGGCGCUAAUACCGCAUACGUCCUGAGGGAUAAAGUGGGGGAUCUUCGUACCUCACGCUAUCUGCUUAGCCUAGGUCGGAUUAGCUAGUUGGUGGGGUAAAGGCCUACCAAGGCGACGAUCCGUAACUGGUCUGAGAGGAUGAUCAGUCAAACUGGAACUGAGACACGGUCCAGACUCCUACGGGAGGAAGCAGUGGGGAAUAUUGGACAAUGGGCGAAAGCCUGAUCCAGCCAUGCCGCGUGUGUGAAGAAGGUCUUCGGAUUGUAAAGCACUUUAAGUUGGGAGGAAGGGCAGUAAGUUAAUACCUUGCUGUUUUGACGUUACCAACAGAAUAAGCACCGGCUAACUUCGUG
rnacentral:rRNA from 1 species